UGAUCUCCCAGCUGGAACAAGAGGAAGAGCCAUGGGUCCCAGACCUCCAGGGCUCUGACGAAAGAGAGAUCCUGAGAGCUCCCCACACAGGUGGGAAAACAGUAAACCAACUCAGAAUCUUUUUGCUUUUUCCCCAUCCCUGCAUGAUGACAUGGAGAAAGUUGAAGUGCAGUUCUAUCAACAGGAGAGAACUCUCUAAUUUACUGGACAGGCUAACAAAGAAACAGCAGUGAUUUAAAAUCUCCACUCAGAAAUGGUGAACAACAGCACAACCCCAACUAACUGAAGGAAGUGCAUAUGAUCACAGCGUAUUUCAGUUAUUUAAGGCAAUAUUGUCUCCGAGAGCUGGGAAGAGAAUUCCAUGGUAAGUGGUUUUGAACUAGGCAAAAUGCUCAUGUGUCUGGUUCCCAAAGCAUUUGUAACCCAGGCCCUACAGAAGAUCUCUCCUAGCUAAUCCUAUGUUAUGGGAAAUGCAGCCGUUCAUGACACAGAUGUUGAGGAAAUAGAAAUGGAGUUUUUGUCGAAUUUAUCCUUUGUAGGUUCUAAAGAUGUGUAUAAAAUAAAACCAGUGUUGAAAAUGUAA